rnacentral:misc_RNA from 1 species
ACGGAAGCACAGAACCGGAAGCACGUGGCUGAACUGCACGAACGACGUCGCAAGAAACACUGACUCGACGCCUGGCGUCGAAUCGCUUCUGCGACGGCGCCUCUGUAUCUCCGAAACGCGCGUCUAUACGCAGACCGUCGCACGCGUCGAAAUGCCUCGCGGAAGAUGAAUGCUAUCUCGAAACUCGGAACUGCUGAAUCGCAAUGCUGUGAUCGAACGCUUUGUGAACUAUUCGAGCUCCUCAAACAAAUGUUUCGAACGAACUGGAGUUUCAUAACGAUAGAUCUAUUUGAAGGAAAUAAACAGCCCACGCAACGUGAAACAAGUAUACUAUAUGGAAGAUGGUACAGAACAGAAUCGAUCUCUAGAGAGUCUGGCAUGGUCUAGGUGAAGGAUAAAAAAUGUCUCGAUUACGUCACUGGAGAAUUCUUGGAGUACCCUGGUCCAUAUUGAACGAGAAAGGAAGAUGUAAUUAAUGAUAGAGAGUAAUUUGAUGAGAAACAAAUUUAUAUUGAAAUGAAAGUUAUACGUGGAAAAUACGUAAACUUUACUUAUACUCGAUAUAAAGAAACGAAAUAAAAAAGAUAUAACUUAACUCCUAUUACAAAGAGAAUAAAU